GGGGGCGACAAGGCUUCGACGUGGGUUACGAAACCUGAGGUGCAUGCCGAGGUGCAGAUUACCUCGUAAAUCCAACUGCAAAAAAUAUAGUUGCCAACGACGACAACUACGCACUAGCAGCUUAAUAACCUGCCUAGCGCCCUCUGACCAAGUCUGUGCUUGUGCACUUGGACCCAGGGGUCGACUCUCACAAGAUCGCGAUGAAACUUGUCCGGAGUGGAUUCGCUAAAACCUAACGGAAUCGCCGCAUAUCUUCCCUGCCCGUCGGGUAGUGUGUGGUUAAACUAAUAGACGCGGAUAAGCAUGUAGAGCCGAAGGCAGAGGAUUUGCGGACGCGGGUUCGAUUCCCGCCGCCUCCACCA
rnacentral:tmRNA from 1 species